UUCUUCCCAUCCCCAAUCCAAACCACAGCCCUAUGCCAGUUACUAGGAAGAACAUUAACUCUAUCCCAGCCGAAACCCGGACAGCAGGGCAGGCGAAGCACAG